rnacentral:rRNA from 1 species
AGGGUGUAAACGCUGCGGGCUUGGUGUUGGGGGUCCUUUGAGGGCGCCCAGUGCCGGAGAGAAGUUGUUAAGCCUGCUGCUUGGGGAGUACGUCCGCAAGGAUGAAACUUAAAGGAAUUGGCGGGGGAGCACCGCAACGGGAGGAGCGUGCGGUUCAAUUGGAUUCAACGCCGGACAACUCACCAGGAGCGACGGUUACAUGAAGGCCAGGCUGAUGACCUUGCCUGAUUUUCCGAGAGGUGGUGCAUGGCGUGUGACUGU